CAGUCACAUCACAUUGAAACAUUGGUUCCCAUACGAUCACCAAAGUUAAGCAACGUUGAGCCUGAUCAGUACCUAGAUGGGUUACUGCCUGGGAAUACCAGGUGCUGUAAG